GAUGAACGCUGGCGGCGUGCCUAAUACAUGCAAGUCGAACGAACAGACCAGGCUUUUGCGCGUCUGACGUUAGCGGAGGAGGGGAGAGUCACACGUGUAUAACCUACCUAUAAGACUGGUAUAACUACGGGAAACCGGCGCUUAUAGCGGAUAAUAUAUUGCACCGCGUGGUGCAAUGGUGAGAGUCGGUUUUGCGGUCAGUUAUAGAUGGAUCCGCGCCGCAUUCGGUAGUUGGUAAGGUAACGGCUUAGCAAGGCGACGAUGCGUAGCCGACCUGAGAGGGUGAUCGGCCACCUGGGAGCGGAGACGGGGUCCAGACUCCUACGGUAGGCAGCAGUAGGGAAUCUUCCGCAAGGGUGGAGAGCUUGACGGAGCGACGCGGCGUGAGUGAUGACGGUGCCCGGAUCGGAAAACUCUGUUAUUAGUGGAGAACAAAUGUGUAAGUAACUGUGCCGGUAUUGACGGUACCGGGUCAGGAAGCCACGGCUAACUACGUG
rnacentral:rRNA from 1 species